rnacentral:rRNA from 1 species
GUGGGGAAUCUUCCGCAAUGGACGAAAGUCUGACGGAGCAACGCCGCGUGAGUGAAGAAGGUUUUCGGAUCGUAAAGCUCUUUCGUUAGGGACGAACGUGCUCUUUGUGAAUAAUGAGGAGUAAUGACGGUACCUAAAUAAGAAGCCACGGCUAACUACGUGCCAGCAGCCGCGGUAAUACGUAGGUGGCAAGCGUUGUCCGGAAUUAUUGGGCGUAAAGCGCGCGCAGGCGGGAUAUCAAGUCUGUCUUAAAAGUGCGAGGCUCAACCUCGUGAGGGGACAGAAACUGGUAUUCUUGAGUGUCGGAGAGGAAAGUGGAAUUCCAAGUGUAGCGGUGAAAUGCGUAGAGAUUUGGAAGAACACCAGUGGCGAAGGCGACUUACUGGGCCGUAACUGACGUUGAUGCGCGAAAGCGUGGGGAGCGAACAGGAUUAGAUACCCCGGUAGUCC